UUUGAUAUGCAUUUAUAAUUUAAUACUUGAAAUAGCUUCCUUAAUGUUUGUUUCAUCUCAGAGCUUGAUUAACAUAGGAUUCUUGCAUCAAGAUGAAUGUUAAAGACAAAAAGGAGAUUUUUUCAGAUAUGCAUGAAGAUUUGUUGGUUAUGUAGCCAUUGGGGUCACAGCUUGUCUGAACCAACUCUCAACUCCAUCAACAGUAUGCCAAUAUGUUAUCAUCAAUAAGACUUUCCAAUGAUUGCAAUUUCCAUAUUUUGUCAUCUUUGCCAAUGUGAAAGAUGUGAGACAAAGCCUCAGAA
rnacentral:lncRNA from 1 species